GACGAACGCUGGCGGCGUGCUUAACACAUGCAAGUCGAACGAUGAAGCCCAGCUUGCUGGGUGGAUUAGUGGCGAACGGGUGAGUAACACGUGAGUAACCUGCCCUGGACUCUGGGAUAACCCCGAGAAAUCGGAGCUAAUACCGGAUAGGACCUUUCCCCGCAUGGGGUUUGGUGGAAAGUUUUUCGGUCUGGGAUGGACUCGCGGCCUAUCAGCUUGUUGGUGAGGUAAUGGCUCACCAAGGCGUCGACGGGUAGCCGGCCUGAGAGGGUGACCGGCCACACUGGGACUGGGACACGGCCCAGACUCCUACGGGAGGCAGCAGUGGGGAAUAUUGGACAAUAGGCGAAAGCCUGAUCCAGCAACGCCGCGUGAGGGAUGACGGCCUUCGGGUUGUAAACCUCUUUCAGCGCAGACGAAGCGAAAGUGACGGUAUGCGCAGAAGAAGCACCGGCCAACUACGUGCCAGCCGCCGCGGUAAAAC
rnacentral:rRNA from 1 species